rnacentral:rRNA from 1 species
CACGUAGGGCGCGAGCGUUGUCCGGAAUUAUUGGGCGUAAAGAGCGUGUAGGCGGCCCGGUAAGUCCGCUGUGAAAGUCGGGGGCUCAACCCUCGGAUGCCGGUGGAUACUGUCGGGCUCGAGUACGGAAGAGGCGAGUGGAAUUCCUGGUGUAGCGGUGAAAUGCGCAGAUAUCAGGAGGAACACCUAUUGCGAAGGCAGCUCGCUGGGACGUUACUGACGCUGAGACGCGAAAGCGUGGGGAGCAAACAGG